AUGCACGCUGGCGGCGUGCCUAAUACAUGCAAGUCGAGCGAACAGACGAGGAGCUUGCUCCUCUGACGUUAGCGGCGGACGGGUGAGUAACACGUGGAUAACCUACCUAUAAGACUGGGAUAACUUCGGGAAACCGGAGCUAAUACCGGAUAAUAUAUUGAACCGCAUGGUUCAAUAGUGAAAGACGGUUUUGCUGUCACUUAUAGAUGGAUCCGCGCCGCAUUAGCUAGUUGGUAAGGUAACGGCUUACCAAGGCAACGAUGCGUAGCCGACCUGAGAGGGUGAUCGGCCACACUGGAACUGAGACACGGUCCAGACUCCUACGGGAGGCAGCAGUAUGGAAUCUUCCGCAAUGGGCGAAAGCCUGACGGAGCAACGCCGCGUGAGUGAUGAAGGUCUUCGGAUCGUAAAACUCUGUUAUUAGGGAAGAACAAAUGUGUAAGUAACUAUGCACGUCUUGACGGUACCUAAUCAGAAAGCCACGGCUAACUACGUG
rnacentral:rRNA from 1 species